UAUGACUACAUUUAAUAAAUAAGUGAUAAAACAACAUGUAGAUCAGAUCAGAGUUCAGCACUUAUAAUAUUAUUGUCCAUCCCCAUCUCCUGGUUUCUGUGUAGCCAUUAGUUUAUUAUACUUCUUUUCCUGUGUUUCAUAUUGUUCGGUCAGUGUCUUCAGAGCAGAUUUUGUUAAUUCGUUACCUUCAGCAUCAUGUGUUGGUAUACACUAAAAUAGAUAUCAGUUUAUGUAAUUAAGGUCUUUAGUUCUGUGUUGCCCCUCCUUACUUUCAGAUGCACAAUUGUGUUAGCACUUC
rnacentral:lncRNA from 1 species